AUUGAACGCUGGCGGCAGGCCUAACACAUGCAAGUCGAGCGGAUGACGGGAGCUUGCUCCUUGAUUCAGCGGCGGACGGGUGAGUAAUGGCUAGGAAUCUGCCUGGUAGUGGGGGACAAUGUUUCGAAAGGAACGCUAAUACCGCAUACGUCCUACGAGAGAAAGCAGGGGACCUUCGGGCCUUGCGCUAUCAGAUGAGCCUAGGUCGGAUUAGCUAGUUGGUGGGGUAAUGGCUCACCAAGGCGACGAUCCGUAACUGGUCUGAGAGGAUGAUCAGUCACACUGGAACUGAGACACGGUCCAGACUCCUACGGGAGGCAGCAGUGGGGAAUAUUGGACAAUGGGCGAAAGCCUGAUCCAGCAAUGCCGCGUGUGUGAAGAAGGUCUUCGGAUUGUAAAGCACUUUAAGUUGGGAGGAAGGGCAGUAAGCUAAUACCUUGCUGUUUUGACGUUACCGACAGAAUAAGCACCGGCUAACUCUGUGCCAGCCGCCGCCGUAAUAC
rnacentral:rRNA from 1 species